AACAAUUUAUACAUUUUCAACACAUUUACCAAUCCAGCCAAUCAUGCCCAUAUUAUCAUAAGCCAUUCGAUUCAAAAUACAAUUUAUAACACAACAAGUAGCAGUUUCCAAUUACUCUUGAAUUUCUUGGUUAAAAUGAAAUCACCUUUUAAAAGAAUUCAAAUUUGAUCUUCAAGGGGAUAUUUUAAAUCUUUCUCAAAAUAUCAAUCCCCACAUCAUGUUAAAACUCUUUUUUCAUAAAAUGUUCAUUGUAAAUAUUUGCAUGAUAUUUUGUAUCAAAAUAGCAUGGUGAAUAUGUAAUAAAUUUCAUGAAUGCACACCACACAAACAAUAAGGCACAAUUUCCUUUGAUAUAAAUCUUUUCGAAAAGCUUGUUUCCCGGUUUAAAACACUUUACGUCUAAUAUAUAUAUAUAUU
rnacentral:lncRNA from 1 species